CCUCCAGUCAACAUAAAUCCCUUCUUCUAAUCCCUUCUACACGUUUCCUUUAUUCAUCAAAACCUCCACCCCUAAAAUAUCUCCAACAACCAAAUAAAUCAAUAUCCAUCAGUUUAAUAUCUCACAUUCACGUCUUCCACAUCCAAGAAAAAUCUGUGAGAAAAACCUACUGCAGUUUUCUCCUUUUCCGUUAAGUGUAAAGGAGAAACUGGGAGAGCUGUUUUUACCUUCUGUUGUGCAAACUUUUUCUUCUUCCCAAAGGGUGAACUUGUGCACGUUAUUGCGGUUGGAACAGAAAGUGUUUGGGGAGUUAAGCUGUUGAGAUUGAGCGGCGAUGGACGUGGAGGAUGUUGAGCAGAGUUCAUGGAUUGUUUUGUCAUGAUUAAUAAUUGUUGAAUUUGUCGUGUCUUCAUACUCGGCAUUUUCCGUGUCUUGAACGCUUCUGCCAAGAGUCAUUUUCUUUAGAAUUAUUUAUUCGUGCAGAGUCUAACUCGUUUGAAAAUUGUUUAUUGUCCAUUCUUUAUUUCCUUAGAGUUGGUAUUAUUGUUAGGAAAAUAUUAUGACGUUUCCAAGUCAAAUUCAGUUAUUAAAUUUUUUGGUCAAAUGUGUAUGUUUUUCCCCUUUCUUCCCCGCUUCUUUAAUCCUCCCCUAGUUGCGAUCAACCGUAUUUUCUAUCCUUAGAAAAUGCGGGCGUGACA